GAUGAACGCUGGCGGCGUGCCUAAUACAUGCAAGUCGAGCGAACAGAUAAGGAGCUUGCUCCUUUGACGUUAGCGGCGGACGGGUGAGUAACACGUGGGUAACCUACCUAUAAGACUGGAAUAACUCCGGGAAACCGAGGCUAAUGCCGGAUAACAUUUAGAACCGCAUGGUUCUAAAGUGAAAGAUGGUUUUGCUAUCACUUAUAGAUGGACCCGCGCCGUAUUAGCUAGUUGGUAAGGUAACGGCUUACCAAGGCGACGAUACGUAGCCGACCUGAGAGGGUGAUCGGCCACACUGGAACUGAGACACGGUCCAGACUCCUACGGGAGGCAGCAGUAGGGAAUCUUCCGCAAUGGGCGAAAGCCUGACGGAGCAACGCCGCGUGAGUGAUGAAGGUCUUCGGAUCGUAAAACUCUGUUAUUAGGGAAGAACAAAUGUGUAAGUAACUGUGCACGUCUUGACGGUACCUAAUCAGAAAGCCACGGCUAACUACGUG
rnacentral:rRNA from 1 species